ACAAAACAAUCAUGGAAGUGUAGCCGAAGCAAAGAAGCUGCCAUUCUUGGUUCAGUUUUAAUCACCUUAGUAAUUUGGUCACGUACAAUGGUGCGAAGAUUAGGACAUGUCUUUGAGUAGAAAUCAGUUGUUAGUUGAGAAGUUCCGAAUUGAUGUUUGGUAAAGCAAACUUCUCUCCGUCGGCUCCAUCGAGUAAGAUCGAUGCAUCACAUCCCUGAUUACUUGAAAUAUUGCAAAUGAUAGAGCAACACAUGCAUGUCUAGAUAAUUGAUAUCAAAUAUGUAUGUAUGUACUUAUUUUUAUUUUCAUAUUUUAUAUAACCAUGAGAACAAAAACAAAGUGCCCACCAAUACCCUGCUAACCCAUGAGAACAUAUUGUUAAACGCAACUUGUGAUGGACAGGUGACCUUCAAGAGAUUAAUAAAAAAACAAUUAAAGGGAAUUACCACAACGCCGCCUCCUUGAAGGUUAUAUAUAUUAUUGAUUAGAAGUUAGAGCAGGACUUACAUUUACAAAACAAUCAUGGAAGUGA
rnacentral:lncRNA from 1 species